UACGUAGGGUGCGAGCGUUAAUCGGAAUUAUUGGGCGUAAAGGGGUGCGUAGGCGGUCUGACAAGUCUGAUGUGAAAUCUAUGGGCUCAACCCAUAGUCUGCAUCGGAAACUGUCGGGCUUGAGUAUGGGAGAGGUGAGUGGAACUGCGAGUGUAGAGGUGAAAUUCGUAGAUAUUCGCAAGAACACCAGUGGCGAAGGCGGCUCACUGGCCCGGUACUGACGCUGAGGUGCGAAAGCGUGGGGAGCAA
rnacentral:rRNA from 1 species